GCGAACGCGGAUUAGCCCAAACCAAUAAAGUUUUCUUUAUUGGGGUUGCGGACAUAUCAUAACGAAGAGGUAUCGUAAUUGAAGAGGUUUGGAAAGACCUACCACAGAAGGUAAUAGUCCUGUAUGUUAAACGAGAAGACUUUAGAUAUGAUCCAGAGUACCACGGGACACGUGAAACCCUGUGGGAAGCAGGAGGGACCACCCUCCAAGGCUAAAUACUACCUAGU
rnacentral:rRNA from 1 species